CACCUCCGCAGGAGGCCGGCCCCCAGGCUGGGCUGGCGAGUAUCUCUUCCAAAGGCUCCCCCUCAAGACAACUAGGAGC
rnacentral:pre_miRNA from 1 species